GGCCGCCGCCGCCAUCUUACGUUGUCUCUCGCCCGCCCUCCCCUUUGGCGAGCGCUCCCCUCCUCCCCCCCGCGGCGCCUCCUCCAGCGCUCCGUGAGGAGACGGGGCAGGCGCAGGGAGGGAGAGACCCGCGGCGGCGGGGAAGCCGGGAGUAGACCCUGAGGGAAGAAAGGACGGGGCGGACGCACACGCGGGAGGAGGAGGACGGAUUCCAGGCGCGGUUCUGCGGAGGACGAGCGGGUGCCGCCUGUUAUAAAGGGGGAGGAGGCGGCGGAGGGGGAAGGAAGAGCGUGCGGAGCGGAGCCUCCUCCAGAGACAGCCAGACACAGGGAGGAGAGAGAGGCUGCCUGGCUGGCUCCCCCUUCCUCCCUCUCCUUUUCAUGGACUCUCUUGUCGGGUUGCUGCAGCUGCUGUUCUUCCGUCCUUAUUCCGUCUCUCUAAUACACAAAAUGAUUCAGCUCCAUGGCUGCUACUGACGGGGAUGUCCCUGCCCGGCUCAGCCUGCCGCUGCCGCCCUGCUGUGCGCCAGUCCUCCUGACUCAGCCGCAGACAUUAGUGCUAGGAAGAUGGCGCACCCGGCGAUGUUUCCUAGAAGGGGCAGCAGCAGUAGCAGCGGCAGCAGCUGCGUUACUGCUCCCACUGCACCAGGUACCGGCGUUGGGAGCGCUGCCCUCUCUGCCGAGGAUUAUCAGCCGCCUUUGCUGGUUCAGCCGCCGCCUCCAUCUCCUGCAGCAGCUUCAACAGCGGGUCCACAGCCGACUCCCCCUCAUCCACAAAGCCUGAACCUCCUCUCGCAGUCUCAGCUCCAGCCACAGCCCCUUGCACAGACCGGAGCUCAAAUGAAAAAGAAAAGUGGCUUUCAAAUUACCAGUGUGACCCCUGCUCAAAUAUCCGCUAGUAUGAGCUCUAAUAACAGCAUAGCCGAGGAUACUGAAAGCUAUGAUGACCUGGAUGAAUCUCACACUGAAGACCUGUCAUCUUCAGAAAUAUUGGAUGUGUCUUUAUCCAGAGCCACUGACUUGGGAGAACCUGAGAGGAGUUCUUCUGAAGAGACUCUAAAUAACUUCCAAGAGGCAGAGACUCCUGGGGCUGUUUCUCCAAACCAGCCUCAUCUUCCUCAGCAGCAUGCUCCUCUGCCUCAUCACCCACAGCAGAGUGCUGUGAUCAAUGGAAGUGUUCAUCCCCAUCAUGUUCAUCAUCACCACCAUCUUCACCACCACCAUCACGGACACCAUCAUCCAUCACAUCCUGGGGUGGGCAGUGCCCCAGUUUCUGGAGGACCACCGCCCAGUCCAUCGUUUAGAAAACUAUCAACAACUGGAAGCUCUGACAAUGUUAUAUCAAUUGCACCAGUUUCUGCUGCAUCAUCCACUGGUUCCCCGGCAUCUGCCAUGUCUAAUAUCCGCACUACAAGUACUCCUGGCAAUUUAGGUAUAAGUCCUGCUGCUGGAACUAGUACCUUAAAUAAUAUUGGUGGUGGCAGUUCUAGCAUGGCAAGCAACGUGCUUGGUACUAUAAAUUUAAGCAACAUCAUUAGUACUGGUAAUGUAAAUGCUUUGUCUGGAACUAGCAGCAGUCCUAAUGUGAAUAUCUUGAGUGGUGUUGGCAAUGGUACGAGUGCUUCCUCUAGUGUCAUUAACAAUGUUACUAAUCCAACUGCAGGAAUGGCAGUGGGAUCCAGCCAGCAGCAGCCUGCAUCUGGCACAUCAAGGUUUAGGGUUGUAAAAUUAGAUUCUAGUUCUGAACCUUUCAAGAAAGGUAGAUGGACAUGCACUGAAUUCUAUGAUAAAGAAAACACUGUUGCAGUUUCGGAGGGAGUAGCAGUAAACAAAGCAGUAGAGACGAUAAAACAAAACCCGCUUGAAGUGACUUCUGAAAGGGAGAGCACCAGUGGGAGUUCUGUUAGCAGCAAUGUAAGCACACUGAGUCACUAUACAGAAAGUGUGGGAAGUGGAGAAAUGGGAGCACCUACUGUGGUACAGCAGCAAGCGUUUCAAGGUGUGGGUCCGCAGCAGAUGGAUUUUAGCAGUGCUGCUCCUCCAGCAAUUCCAGCAUCUAGUAUACCACAGAGUGUUUCUCAAUCACAGCUUGCACAAGUCCAGCUGCAUUCUCAAGAAGUAAACUAUCCACAGCAGAAGCCAGGGGUCCAACCUCCUGCACAGGCCAGUCUAACCACUGUUACUGGGGUUCAACCAGGCCCGGUUAAUAUCCUAGGUGUAUCCCCAUCUCUGGGCCACCAGCAACCUGCCCUUCAGAGUAUGGCUCAGCAGCAGCUGCCGUAUUCGCAGCCCACCCAGCCUGUGCAGACCUUGCCAGUGGUGCAGCAGCAGCAGUUGCAGUACGGACAACAGCAGCAGCAACAGCAGCCGGUUCCUACGCAGAUGGCCGCGGGUCACGUUAAGCCGGUGAACCAGAACUCUGUCACGGGGGCUAUGCCAGACUACAUUCAACAUCAGCAGAUCCUUCAGACUCCAGCCCCUGCCAUGCAGCCGAGUUCUACAGGAGUAGGAACCGGGCAACCGGUUCCUGUUGCCCAGGCGCAAGGCAUGCAGCCUUCAGUGCAAGCACAUCCAGCUGCUGCCCCAGCUCAGCCUGUUGCGCACGCUCCAGCAGCAAUACCAGGUGUAGCUGCCGGUGGUCAAAUACUAAAUGUUGGGCAGCAAGGAAGCGUAGCUGCUGUGGUGCAACCACCAUCUGCUGCAAACCAAAUUCCACCUCCAGUUAUGCCAUCAACGGCUGCUCCUCCAUCUUCCCAAGUAGUGCAGCCUGUGCAGACAGGAAUAAUGCAGCAGGGAUUACAGGCUAGCGCUGCAGGCCUUCCUCAACAAAUGGUCAUUGCUCAGCAAAACACCUUGUUACCUGUACAGCCACAGGCACAAGGAGUGGAAUCUGUAGUCCAGGGGAUGACUGGCCAGCAGCUGCCUGCGGUAAGCCCUAUACCCUCUGCUAGUACUGUUCCUGCACCAAGUCAAGCUGGUUCAGCUGUGCCUCCUGGCAUACCUUCUGCUUCUGUAGGUUUGGGACAGCCACAGAAUAUAGCACAGACUUCGGCUGUGCAGAAUGGCAAUUUGGCUCAGAGCGUUAGUCAGCCUCCUUUGAUAUCAACAAGUAUAGGUAUGCCAGUGGCACAGAGUGUGCCCCAGCAGAUGCCACUAAGCUCUACCCAGUUCCCUGCACAAUCACUAGCUCAGUCCAUUGCAAGCCAAAUCGAAGACGGCAGACGCCCCACGGAACCUUCCUUGGUGGGUUUACCUCAAGCUGCUGGCGUCGAGAGCAGUGGUGGAGCAUCGGCCACUUCAGAUGGCGGUAGCAGCAACAUGCCUUCCUCGGCGUCCCUCUUCCCAUUGAAGGUGCUGCCGUUGACAACGCCCCUUGUAGAUGGUGAGGAUGAGAGCUGCCCACAAAAGUAAAGAACCAAUGUGAGAGUUUGAAGAAAGAAUCCGCUCAGAGGACUGAGUCUCAAGCAAAAGCUCCAGGUUGCAGACUCAGAAAGAAACUUCCUUUGGGGAAGGAUCUGCUUCCAGGAUUUGCUCGUCUCUUUUUCCUUGGGCAAACAGUUCUUGAAGCAAACAACAGGGUUGCAGCAAAAGAAAUCACUUGAAAACUGGCAAUGAAAUUCUAAGGAGAUUUUACCAGUUCUUCGUUCGUGCUGAGUUGAAGUCAUUUGGAACUAUGUUACAUGCAUUAUUACUUUGGUGCAUCUUGUGACUCUUUCUCCCUCUUCAUUCCCUCCAAAUUGCUUCAGGACACCUUCUAACCUUUAUACUGCAUCACAAGCCUUCAGCAGAAGAUCUCUUGUUGCUGGAAGAUGACUGGGUUUGGAUCUUGGCCUUCCCUAAGCAGGAUCUCCUGGCAAAAAAUGGGAUUGGGAAAGAAAUGACUCCUUUUUCCAUCACACAGAACUACCCUAGAAAUGGAGGCCUAGGCAGAAAAUUACUUCUAAUGCAUCAUUUUUUAGGAAAUGUGUUUGGCCUCCCACGGUCCUUUUGUUACAAUGUCAUAUAGAUAUUCUUUUAUAAAAUCUAAACCUGGCGUCUUCCUAUCUGAAGAUCAAGUCAAUAAAUCCAAGGUUAAGAGUUUACAGGUCUAAUAAUAUGGUCGGGUCUUGCCGUCCCUUGCAUAGGAGGUGCCACGUGAAUUUGUGAAACAGGGUUCUACUGUAGUUCAGUAUGUUAUAUGUGUAAAGCCUUUACUACUUACAUUCAAAUUAUUAGAAAUAAUAAUAAUAAAGGUUCUUGUGAAAGUGGUAUUUAGACUUCUACCUUGCCGGGUUUAGUUAAAAAUAAAUUUGAGCCAAAAUGUCAUAAUGGGCAAUAUGGGAAGUACUGCAUCUUUUGAGGUUUACUGUGGCUUUGUGUCACAAAAAAGCAUGUUGGAACUGUUGAGGGAACUGUUGAGAGCUGUAAAAGUGGAAAUCUUAGGUUUUUCUUUAAGAGUGAAAAGUUGUUUGUUAGAAAGCAGAAAGCUUUUAAUUGUUUUCCCCCUAAGGGAUUCUGUAGUCAAACUUAAUUAAAUGUCUUGCAAGAUCUCAAAUAAAAACCUUAUGUUUGGCAGUAGUGAACAACACACACAUGCCUGUGUACUUGUAUUGUUCUCACUAUGGGAAAUUAGUUUUGAAGAAUGGGACUUACUUCUAAUGUUCAGAUUAGGAAAGGGGAAAGUUUUGUUCUGAGGCUGAGUGUGAGAAUAGAAGGCAGGAGGGUGUACCAGACCCUCUGGCAGUAGGUGAAGAGCACUUUUGUUUUUCUGUUUUCUGCUGCUGGCAGUUGAAGUAAACUAGCCAGAUGCUUGUACUUGAAUUCAAUUAAUAUCUUAAAUCAGUUACCACAAAAUAUUAUUUUUUAACUAAUGCCUACAUCUUUUGUUAAAUUCACCAGCUUAUUUAAAUUAUUCAGCAGUCUUAACAUAGCCCUGAGGCUACUCCUUCAUAGCAGUUGUGACUUCUUACUAUUCUGGAAUGCAUUACAGUCCUAGUACAUUCUAAAAAUAAUUGUUCAGAUGGUGCUGUUCAAGUACAUACUUACGUAGUGGGCCAUUUUCACUGGACUUUUUGAAACUGGCUUUCUGUUGGAUGGCUUUUUAAUAUCUUGUUUUGCUGUGAGUAUCAAACUUGUUUGUUUUGCUGCUUCUGUGGUUAUUGAGUAAAGUGCUGAAUUUAUAACCUGGUAUUUUUAGAGAAAUGAUAGUCACUUGCCUGUGUUAAACUAUGCAAGCACCGUAACAGUUGUUAACUUUGAAGUUUAAAAAGAAAUCAGUUUAAUGUAUCAAAUUCAAUCCUAUUAUAAUAUGUGGAAAUAUGUAUGUGAUGAACUGAAAAUUGACUAGUUGUUACAGGUAUAGACACGAAUUGUGUACUGAACAGAAGUAAUCUAGACUUUAAUAGCUGAAGAUCUGUGGAUCUCAGAAAUGAAUUCUAACAUCUUUGACUAGAGUUUUGUACCAGCAGUGCUUUUAGUUGAAAAUACCUGGUUUUCAAAUUUCUAGUCCAUUUAAGGUCUGAUAUCCUUUGUGCCUUAGUAGGUAUACUUACACUUGCCUCAGCCACAGUUUUUGGUAAUUUUGUUCUGUAGUAGGUAAAUUUAGGACUGUCAAAUACUCAUGAAACAGGCACUGAGAACUGUUUAUAUUACUGUCUCAGUUCCUAAAAUGGUUUUACUCCUCCCCAUCACAAUUAGGAAACAACACCACCAAAACAAAAGCAAAAACCAAACUAAAAAGCCUGUUGCAAUUCUGCAGUCAGUAUUUUGAUACUUGUCUGUCACCGUUGCGUUAGCGUGUUUCUGUCAUGCUCUGAGUUUUACAGCUGGAAUCCUGGGUUCUUGAUACAUCCUUAGAACAAUAACUCCUGCCUUUGUGUUAUUAAAUAAUAAAGAUAUCUG